CAGUGCAAUAAUAUUGUCAAAGC
rnacentral:ncRNA from 8 species